rnacentral:rRNA from 1 species
UACAGAGACUGCAAGCGUUGUUCGGAUUCAUUGGGCGUAAAGGGUGCGCAGGCGGUGCGUUAAGUCGGAUGUGAAAUCUCACAGCCUAACUGUGAUAGGUCAUUCGAAACUGGCGUGCUAGAGGACUGGAGAGGAGACUGGAAUGGUCGGUGUAGCGGUGAAAUGCGUAGAGAUCGACCAGAACACCGGUGGCGAAGGCGGGUCUCUGGGCCGAUAUUGACGCUGAGGAGCGAAAACGUGGGGAGCGAACAGG